rnacentral:rRNA from 1 species
AACGAACGCUGGCGGCAUGCCUAACACAUGCAAGUCGAACGAGACCUUCGGGUCUAGUGGCGCACGGGUGCGUAACGCGUGGGAACCUGCCCUUAGGUUCGGAAUAACUCCCCGAAAGGGGUGCUAAUACGGGAUAAUGUCUUCGGACCAAAGAUUUAUCGCCUUUGGAUGGGCCCGCGUUGGAUUAGCUAGUUGGUAGGGUAAAAGCCUACCAAGGCGACGAUCCAUAGCUGGUCUGAGAGGAUGAUCAGCCACACUGGGACUGAGACACGGCCCAGACUCAUACGGGAGGCAGCAGUGGGGAAUAUUGGAGAAUGGACGAAAGCCUGAUCAAGCAAUGGCGCGUGAGUGAUGAAGGUCUUAGGGUUGUAAAGCUCUUUUACCCGGGAUGAUAAUGACAGUACCGGGAGAAUAAGCUCCGGCUAGCUCCGUG